GUCUUCCUCUUUCUAUAAGCUCAAGUCAAACGUCUUCCUCUUUCUAUAAGCUCAAGUCAAACGUCUUCCACACGUCUGACAUUGCCUUUGUCUCCUGAGCAACCAGUCGGCCAAACAUUCCCCCAUUUACAUUUUUUUACUUAUGAUCUCCGCAUACUGACAAAUAUAUUAGGCUACAGUGUUCAGAGUUUACCAAUGAAUGUGAUUAUAAUAGUCUAUAAGGGAGAAGUGAAAGAGACAACUUGCGCCAUUCAAACAGGCCCUCGUCUUUUCUACACUGCAUGCAAGUUUGAGCCCGGCCCUAAUUAAUUGUCAGCCCCUGAGAAGGACAACUUUUUUUUUUUUACAUUUAUUUUUGUCUUUGAUAGACACGGAAAAGCAAACACAUUUAUCCACUUCUAAAUUGUUCUGAAUAAAUGUAAUACAUUAUCACUGCACAACACAAAAUAGCCACCAUUGUUUUUUUUCAUCUCUAUUUAACAAAAUAAAGCAAAGCAGUAUGACAAAAACAACAGAGUUACACAUGGGAUAAACAAACGUAUAGUCAAUAACACAAUAGAAAAAUCUGUAUAUGUCACAGGCGUCGUAAGGAUUAUUGGACCAAAACGCAGCGGGUAUAGUGCUCAUCUUCUUACUUUAUUUGAAAGAACACUCAAAACAAAAUAAACAGACGACGAAACAGUUCCAUAAGGCACACAGGCUAUACAGAAAAUAACCACCCACAAAACCCAACGGAAAACAGGCUGCCUAAGUAUGGCUUCCAAUCAGAGACAACGAAAGACACCUGCCUCUGAUUGGAAACCACACUCGGCCAAACCUGGAAAACGGAACAUAGAAAAUUAAAACUAGAACCAAAAUCCCCUAGACCAAAAACCCCAAAACAAACACCCCUGCCACGCCCUGACCAUACUACAAUGACAAAAGACCCCUUUACUGGUCAGGACGUGACAGUAUACAGUGUAUGCAAAUGAAGCAAGGAGGUAAGGCAAUAAAUAGGUCAUAGUGGCGAAGUAAUUACAAUUUAGCAAUUAACACUGGAGUGAUAGAUGUGCAGAUGAGGAUGUGCAUGUAGAAAUACUGGUCUGCAAAAGAGCAGAAAAACAAAAAUUGGACGGGCUGCGUACGGCUGCAGCGAUCGGUAAUCUGCUCUGACAGCUGAUGCUUAAAGUUAGUGAGGGAGAUAAGUCUCCAACUUCAGUGAUUUUUGCAAUUCGUUCCAGUCAUUGGCUGCAUAGAACUGGAAGGAAAGGCGGCCAAAGUGGGUGUUGGCUUUGGGGAUGACCAGUGAAAUAUACCUGCUGGAGUGUGUGCUACGGGUGGGUGUUGCUAUGGUGACCAGUGAGCUGAGAUAAGGCGGAGCUUUACCUAGCAAAGACUUAGAUGACCUGGAUGGGUUUGGCGACGAAUAUGUAGCGAGGACCAGCCAACGAGAGCAUACAGGUCGCAGUGCUGCAGUCAAGAAAUGGAACAGCAAGCCCACUGACCAUGAUGUUCGGAGAGCUGUGGCAGACCACCUCAAGCAUGCUCCUGCUAGAGCCAGAGGUGGUGGUUUCCACAUCACCACCACACAGGGCCAUUGCUAACGCAGCGAAAUAUAUCUAUCAUUUUGAUGGAUAAUUAUUCAAUGAAUAAAAUUAACUAUAUUAAUUUGAACUUAACUGUAUUUUGUCUGUUAUCACUGUACUUGACUGAAUGUUUUCUGCAAAUACUGGAGUAAUGUAAUGAGUCGUGUGAAUGUUAAUGUAAAAAAUGACAGACCAUUUUUUGGUUACUGCUUCCAUGUGUAUAGGCUACAAGUACAUUGAAAUUAUGUUCUUUGCAAGUCGUUAAAACAAGGACCUGAAAAAUGUAUUUUUAACUUUCACUCUUAAACGAAACGGGCCGUAGACAGACAUUGUUUUAUAGAUGUCUUUUCAAUGACAUGAAAAAUGUCUUUUCAACUUUCACUUUCAACCAAAACCGAAAGUAUAUUAGACAUCGGCCAUAGUCCUCUUUUCAACGUCUUUUUAACGACAGUUUGCUGGGUGGGAAGUACUCGUUACAUUUUGAAUGCUUAGCAGGACAAGGAAAUGGUCUAAUUCACUCACUUAAAGAUAAAAUCCCUGGUCAAUCCUACUGCAUCUGAUCUGGCGGACUCAUUAAACACAAAUGCUUUAUUUGUAAAUUAUGCCUGUGUAGGAGUGUGCCACUGGCUAUCCAUAAAUUAAACAAACAAUAAAACUGUGCCGUCUGGUUUGCUUAAAAUAACGAAUUUGAAAUGAUUUAUACUUUUACUUUUAAUAUUUAAGUAUAUUUUACAUUUACUUUUGAUACUUAAGUUUAUUAACUACAUUUUUUUCAUUUACUCAAGUAGAAUUUUAAUGGGUGACUUUUUCACUUUUACCUGUCAUUUACUUUUACUCAAGUAUGAGAAUUGGGUACUUUUUCCACCACUGGUUUUGGAACACUUCAACAUGUGACAUUCCACAUGUGAAAAUAUGGUUUUGGAACAUUACACAUGUGAAAACAAAAAUGAGUCAUUAUGAUACACAGUGCUUUUAAACGUACAUAUUUGACACACAUGACUACAUUGUGUAUGCGUACUUACACUAAUUAUUACUGAACUUAUCCUAACCUGCUAUUUGAACUCACAACCUCUUGGUUCACGGCAUUCCAAUCUUUCUGCUACAGUGUUAAUAACUGAUUUCAUCUGUAUUCUUACUGGUGAAAUGUCAGCUUUGUUAAAAAUAAAUAAAUAAUUAUAUUUAUCAUAGUGAUUCAGGUGUAACAUUUAAACAGAAUUAUAUGCCACACCAACAUUAGACAACUAUACAGAAAACCAUCAAAUUGC
rnacentral:lncRNA from 1 species